GCCCGUAUAGCUUAGUUGGUAGAGUGUAAGACUCUUAACCUUGUAGUUGUGGGUUCGAGACCCACCCAUGGUG
rnacentral:tRNA from 7 species